AUUGAACGCUGGCGGCAUGCCUUACACAUGCAAGUCGAACGGCAGCACGGGGGCAACCCUGGUGGCGAGUGGCGAACGGGUGAGUAACAUAUCGGAACAUACCCUAGAGUGGGGGAUAACGUAGCGAAAGUUACGCUAAUACCGCAUACGAUCUAAGGAUGAAAGUGGGGGAUCUUCGGACCUCAUGCUCAUGGAGUGGCCGAUAUCUGAUUAGCUAGUUGGUGAGGUAAAGGCUCACCAAGGCGACGAUCAGUAGCUGGUUUGAGAGAACGACCAGCCACACUGGAACUGAGACACGGUCCAGACUCCUACGGGAGGCAGCAGUGGGGAAUUUUGGACAAUGGGGGCGAACCCUGAUCCAGCAAUGCCGCCGUGAGUGAAGAAGGCCU
rnacentral:rRNA from 1 species